rnacentral:lncRNA from 1 species
GUUCUGGACUAGACUAAUGCUAGUCCACCUAGACCCUCACAAAGUCCACAUGGCUUGCCCAACCACCUCCAUGUCAGCAGCAUGGCACAACCUCUCCACCAAGAUAGGGUAAAAUUACUACUCUACCCACUAUCCAAGGGUAAUAUCUUGGCAGUCCCUCUUAAUGGGCCUUGGCUAGUCCAGCCCACUAAGAGGACCUUUGGCCCAGAGCUGGGGGCUAUAAAUACUCUCCCUCUUGGGAGAGUAAGGUAGAUACUAUUCAUUAUUGCAAUUACUCUCUCUCUCUAACUUCUCUCUAGUAUCUCUUUUGCUCUCUACCCUUACUGACUUAGGCAUCGGAGCACCUGCAGGUACAACCCCCCCCUCCGUGGAUCAUCUGCUCGGAUUACAGCCUACCACCUGCUCAACGGACUUCCAGCUGGCCUUCUACCUGUUCUGAUCAACAGUUAAGAUCA